rnacentral:rRNA from 1 species
GUACAAGAGUAACUGCUUGUACCUUGACGGUACCUAACCAGAAAGCCACGGCUAACUACGUGCCAGCAGCCGCGGUAAUACGUAGGUGGCAAGCGUUAUCCGGAAUUAUUGGGCGUAAAGCGCGCGCAGGCGGUUUCUUAAGUCUGAUGUGAAAGCCCACGGCUCAACCGUGGAGGGUCAUUGGAAACUGGGGAACUUGAGUGCAGAAGAGAAAAGCGGAAUUCCACGUGUAGCGGUGAAAUGCGUAGAGAUGUGGAGGAACACCAGUGGCGAAGGCGGCUUUUUGGUCUGUAACUGACGCUGAGGCGCGAAAGCGUGGGGAGCAAACAGGAUUAGAUACCCUGGUAGUCCACGCCGUAAACGAUGAGUGCUAAGUGUUAGAGGGUUUCCGCCCUUU